CCUGCCUCUAGAGUUGCAGGUGUGGCUGCUGUGUCACAUCUGUGUCAGUGGGUGGCAGAGAGAAAAAAAGGCUACAUCUGAGCUCAGUGUUCUGACUUAUGAACAUCUGAAGGAUUAGUAGCCUAACAUU
rnacentral:snoRNA from 1 species